CACAAGUUUGGUCCUGGCUUUACUAUCAGCUUUGAUAAAAUUUAUACAUGCAAGUCUCCGCACUCCUGUGAGAAUGCCCUAAUACAUGCCUUAACUCUGGGCAAAAAGGAGCGGGUAUCAGGCACAACCCCACGAGUUAGCCCACAACACCUUGCUUAGCCACACCCCCACGGGAUUUCAGCAGUAACAAACAUUAAGCUAUAAGUGUAAACUUGACUUAGUUAACAUCACUUAGGGCCGGUUAAACUCGUGCCAGCCACCGCGGUUAUACGAGAGGCCCAAGUUGAUAGACCAUCGGCGUAAAGAGUGGUUAAUAAAGAAAUGACACUAAGGCUAAACAUCUUCAAGACUGUUAUACGUACCCGAAGACAGGAAGACCCCUGACGAAAGUGGCCUUAACCUAUUUUGAACUCCACUAAAGCUAGGGAACAAACUGGGAUUAGAUACCCCACUAUGCCUAGCCAUAAACAUCAAUAGUCUCCUUACAACAUCACUAUUCGCCAGGGAACAACGAGCCCCAGCUUAAAACCCAAAGGACUUGGCGGUGCUUUAGACCCCCCUAGAGGAGCCUGUUCUAGAACCGAUACUCCCCGUUCAACCUCACCUUCUCUUGUAUUUUCCCGCCUAUAUACCGCCGUCGUCAGCUUACCCUAUGAAGGUCUAACAGUAAGCAGAAUUGGCAUAGCCCAAAACGUCAGGUCGAGGUGUAGCGAACGAGAAGGGAAGAAAUGGGCUACAUUUACUGAGUACAGUCUAUACGGAUAUUGUACUGAAACAAGCAUUUAAAGGAGGAUUUAGCAGUAAGGGAAGAAAUAGAGCGCCUCCCUGAAAACGGCCCUGAAGCGCGUACACACCGCCCGUCACUCUCCCCGAACACACUUAACACCUAAUAAAUAAAGCACCCAAUACCAAAAAUAAGGGGAGGCAAGUCGUAACAUGGUAAGUGUACCGGAAGGUGCACUUGGAAAAAC
rnacentral:ncRNA from 1 species